rfam:Papio anubis isolate 1X1155 chromosome 2, whole genome shotgun sequence.
GCUGGGCAUGGUGGCAUGUGCCUGUAAUCCCAGCUCCUUGGGAGGCUGAGGUGGGAGGAUCACUUGAGCCCAGGAGGUCAAAGUUGCAGUGAGCUGAGAUGUUGCCACUGCACUCCAGCCUGGGCUACAGAGUGAGACCUUAUCUCAA